GGCGAGCUUCUCGGCCAGCUCCCGCCAGCGCUGGGCCACCUCCACGGCCGUGGUCAGCAGCACGAAGUCCUGGAUCAGCCUCACCACCAGCCCCUGGCAGUCCAUCUUCAGCAGGGCCUGCGGGACACGGGGAAAAGCAAGCAGGGAGUCAAGGCCGGGGGUGGGCGGGUGAGCUCCCCCGGGAGCAUCCCAAAAAUCCUCCUGCCUCCUUUUUAGUGACAGCUGGGGAAAUGAGGCCAGCAGGCUUGGUAAGAGAAUAAUCUCAUUAAUUGAACAAAGUGCCAGACCCCUCUGGAUGGGGUUUGCAGCCUCAUUCUGCAGGCAGCCCCUCCCGAGAUGUCCAGGCCCCACCUUAAGCAGUUUAAAGCAUCCCAGGGGCUGAGGACAACAGGACAACAGAUGCUUUUAAUCCAGAGAACUAAUCCAGACUCCACCCCAGAGCUGCAGGAUCCUUCAGAGCAGUGGGCAAGGCACAGCCAGGACGUUCUGAGAUGGGCCCUGUGCAGGGCUGGACUGGGGUGAGACCCAGGUGAAGACUCCAAUACUACAGGACCAUUACUCAGCCCGGGAUGUUCUUUCUCUUCUCCUCCUCUUCCUGCAACAUUUAUUGUCCUAAAAGCUGAGAUUUUCCACAAACAGUUUUGAAGUGGAAAGAGCAAAUGCAUCAGUCUGGGUUUUCUAGGUAGGAAUGACUUAGCCAGGCAAAAAAGGAUGGAGUGGAGUUAGCUCCUGCCUUAAAGUGUCAAAUCCCAUUAAAGUCCCCUCAGAGUGGGAUGAAGCUGCAGUAGGGGAGAAGCCCCGGUGCAGCCCUGGAAAAGGAAGGGUUUAAUGGCAGUGUUCAGUUUCAGAGGAUGGGAUCUGACUGCCAGGAUCAUCAUCCCACUCUCCAGGGCUCCCACAGCCUUUGAAGCACAACAGCCCCAGCAGCAGCAACCCCAGACCUUGUGCAAAUCCCAAGCUGAACCUCAGGAGGGGCUCUGAUGUUAUUAAAAAUUAAAAUCAAGCCGACAGACCCCACCCACUCCUUCACAGCAGCACGGGGAUGAUUCUUAUGGAAAUCAUAAGGAUAAGGUGGUUCCUAAAGUGGCCAGAAUCCCCUUUCUGCCCCUCUGGGUCCUGACACCCCCUCCCAACACAGGGGUCUGGGGAAAUCCAGGUUUCGCUCUGGGGUAAAGAAGGGUUAAAUCCUCCCAGUGGAGACUGCAAGGGGACAGUUGGGGGAGGGAAGAUGGGAACAUCUGAAACCACUCCAGCGAUUUGCAAAGCAAAUGCACGUUGAUUUCCCCCUUAUCUGCUCCCAGCUUAAAGCUGAGCUGGGUUCUAAUCGCAGCUGCAGCCCAGCACGUGCCUGCUCCUCCAAAGUGCUGACACCGGCUUCCUGUGGGAGCCAGGGAGGCCAUAAACCCCCUUGUCCAACAAGCAAGGAAAAUCCAUCCAAAGGAGCCCUCGUUUGGUUUGGCAAAAAGGCACGCAGAGGCAUUUAGAUCACACACACCUGCGCCAGAACCGAACCACCUCCUUCCUACAGCCCACGGAGCAGCUCCCCUCUGGAUCCUCCAUCCCCUCAGGAUCCUGCUCCCUCUUUGGAUUCAGCUCCCUCUCUGGAUCCUCCACCCUCUCUGAAUCCAGCUCCCUCUCUGAAUCCAGCUACCUCUCUGGAUCCUCCACCCUCUGGAUCCAGCUCCCCCUCUGGAUCCUCCACCCUCUCUGGAUCCAGCUCCCUCUUUGCAUCCAGCUUCCUCUCUGGAUCCAGCUCCCCCUCUGGAUCCUCCAUUUCUCUGGACCCAGCUCCCUCUCUGCAGGAUCCCAAGGAAGGGGCAGACUGAACAUCCCCAGGCCUGCCUUUCCAGGCAGCUGGAUCCCCAUCCCGUGCACAAGAGGCAGUGCCUGGAGCUGGGUUAAGAAGGAUGGAGCUGCAGGAGAUGGAUUCCCUGCUCCUUCUGCUGCUCCAGGUGAACAACAAAACAGCAGCAAGGAAAACACCCGGGAGGGCACCUCAUCAAAGAGCUGCAAAAUCACUCAGAACAACUCUGGGAGAGAUGGAUGGGUCUGGGUAACUCCGAGACCUACUGAUGGCCGCAGCACCAGCUGCUGUGCCCUGGCAGAGGUGACAAGAUAGGGGACAGCAUCAAGCCACGUGAGGAUGGGCUGCAAGGCAUCACAGACGCCGAGGUGGCAGCCAGAGGGGGAAUAUUACUGGAAACGGCGGCGAGACACUGGGAUUAGCUCAGCAGACUUAAUCCUCCAGUGGGAUUAUGCCACAAUUUUUUCCGUCCUCCUCCCUUGCCCUGGACAAGCCUCCCAGGAUAUCUGGGUCCACUCAGUGUCUCCAUCCCUCAUCAGCCAGGUGUGACCUGGGCUUUGCCAGAGCCCUUGGAAAUGUUUAUUAUUUAUUAUUUAUUCCCCUGGGAGCAGCGGGAACCGGCUCUGCCAGCCCAGCAAAGAGGGUGUUUGAUAUUCAAAUCCCAGUUCAAAGCAGAAACACCUCAACUUAAAAGGCAUCCAGGGGAGGCUGAAUUUACAUCCCAGCUUUGAAAUGCAGAAUCCCAUUUCCUAAUGAAGGAAAGCAGCAUUGUGGAGGAAAACAGCUCCCCCCUGGGACUUCCUCAAACACAGGGGGUAAAGGCCCUGUGUCCCCAAGGAAACCAAGAGAGCCACGGGGUGAGAGGAUGCUCCUGCACAGGCUCCUGGCUCAUCAUCCUCUCUAGGAUACAGGCUCAAUCUAAUUUCUCCAUAGGCUAAGGAGGAUUUGACGGCAGCCAGGGGUUUUGGAAGCAGCAUCAUGCUCCACCAAGAAGGGAGCUCAUCCCUUAUCCGCAGGCUCAGCCUCACAGAGAGCAGGAUUAGAGAAACAAGGAGAAUAAAACCUGCCCUGGGACUCUGCUCUCCUGACAGCCACAGGGGAGCAGGAUGUUUUCCUACAGCUCCCAGCCCUCCCCUUGAGUCAGCAGCUCCCUGAGCCUUAUCUUUCCCUUUGUCUCCCUGUGAGGAUUCUCCAUGACCUACAGACUGCCUGGGAGUCCUGAAAACAAUGGGGAGAGAUAAAAGCAACACCUACAGGGUUUGCAAACAGGUAAAGCAAACAGUCCCGGAAGCAUCGAGCAAGAGCAGCAUGGAUUUCAUCCAAACAAUCAUUGAGCCUGAUUAUUAAAGGAGUAAACCCUCCCUUGGGGGAAACAGGGGGGCCAGAGGGAAGAUUUUCCAAUCCUGGAUCAGGAAAGGUCACUGAUGGCUAGGAGAGCCCGGCAACAGAAGCAGCGUUGGUGGCACGACCUGAAAGCUGAAAGUCAAAGCUGAAACAUCGCCCCACAGGACCCAGAGCGGUAACCGGGCACAGGGAACUCUCCAGACAACAUUUCCAUGAAUAACAACGGAUUCCAUACUCUUCACAACACCUUCUACUCAAUCCUUAAAUUCCCUCCUUCUCCCUAAAAGGACUGUGGGAACUGAGCUCCUCCAUUCAGCUCCAGUCCCCUUUUGCCGUAAUUACAUUUUGCCAAGCAAGGCCGCCGCUAUUCCUUAAUCCAAUUGACAUUUUAAACCAUGCUCUUCUCCAUAACUCAGUUAUUCUGCUCCUGUGGGACAGCACAGAACGGGAGAGAGCUGCAAAUCUCUCCCAGACAUUUUGCCCUGUAUUUUCUUUGGCUCACUUCCUAUGAAAUGCUAGAAAUUAUUGUGGAGAUGAUAUUUUGUGAGGGAUUUACUUGCUAACAGCCUCCUAGAAAUACUGGCAGGCAGUGCUCCUCCCAAAUUCCUUCCAGGACAUGGAGCAAGUCACACAUUUCCAUUUGUAAUGUAUAAAACAUCCCAGCUCAGAGGUGCCACUCAAAAAAAAGGCUCCCCAUCCCUGAAAGUGUUCCAGGCCAAGCUGCACAGGGCUUGGAGUGACCCAGGACAGUGGAAGGUGUCCCUGCCCAUGGCAGGGGUGGGACUGGAUGAGCUUUGAUAUUUCUUUGAACCCAAGCUAUUGUGUGAUUCUGGAAUUCCAAGCAACUGAGUGCAUCCCUCAUUAUAGCCAUGAUUCUGCUAAACCAAGAUCCCACCCACCACAGGGCUGGACUCCCACCUGGCAGCGCCCAGCAGUCUUCAAGGUGGACUUCACUCUCUAAAGACUGAAUUAAGAAACUGCCACCUCCCCUGAUGCCUCUGCAGAGCCAGGAACUAAGCCCCCCUCCGCCAGGCCUCAGACUCACCGUCAUCAGCUCCUUCUGGAAGGAUUUCCUCUCCUUGUUCUCCACGCUGUUGCAGUCCUCCUUCAGCUUCUCCAGGACGGAGGCCACUCGCUCUGGCUCGCUGUCCAUCUCCGCCCGGCAGAAGAACGUGAGCGGCAAGUUCAGGUAGCCCAGGGCGUCGGCGAAGGAGCGCCAGCUGCUGAGGUUCUCCAUCAGCAGAGUCCUCACCGAGGCGUAGAUGUAGGUCAGGAACUUGCAGGGCCUCAGGAUCUGCUCCAGCAGCAGGCUGGUGGUGAGAUCCGGCCCGGAGAAGUAGCUGGGUUUGACCUUCCCGACCACCAGCACGUUUUUGGUGUGCACAAGGCCGACUUUCCCCUGGUAGUAGCCAAUGUACCACUCCUUGGUCCACAGCUGGCCUUUCAACCUGAUCUUCUCCUCACUGAGGAGGGCUAUGACGUCUCCCUUCUUGUAUUCCAGCAAAUAGUGGUUCUUGCUCUGCCUCACCACCGUCUUCAGCAGCUUCCCGUACUUCAGGCUCAACACCG